CAUGGAACAAUUUUGUAAAAAUGGUUAAAUGAGAACCUAAUUUGCUAUGUAACUUUCGCCUGAAACAAUAAAAUAUUUUUUUAAAAGUUAUAGACUUAUGGAUGUUCUUGUCAUUUGUUAUCAACAUGUAGGCAUUUUGCUAUACUUUCAGUAACUUUGACUUUCAUAAUUAAAUGAAAUUUUUUCUCAGUGUGAAGGAAUUUCUGGCAUCUGGCUAAACACUUGGAAUAAAAAGAAUACGGAUUAAUUAACAGACUAUUAUUUAAACUGUGGAAGUGGAGUUUCUAAAUUCCUCCAUUGCACUAGUGCUCGAUUGUCGUAUUUUUCUCUGUAGAGCAGAAUUCAGUGGAUACCAGAUAAAACUUUCACUUUUCCCGGGAUAAUCUAAUCAAGUAUCAAAGAGGAUUGUUAAUAAAGUGAUUUCACCUUAUGACUGAUUCUGAAGGAGGUGUGGUGCCUUAUCAAACUAUGUUUUCCCUCCCUUCCUGGGAGCUAUAAACAGUUUGCACUGAAAGGUUGGUGGUUUGAACCCACCUAGUGGUGACACAAAAGAAAGGCCUGGCAACAACUACAGCCAAGAAGACCCUAUGGAGUUCUAUUCUCACACACAUGGGGUCGCCUUGAGUUGGAAUCCACUUGAUGGCAGCGGGCUUGGGUUUUUUUGCGUGUGUAGAUUCACUGAUAGAGCAGAUCACUUUACAGAUGUGAGUAUAGUGGGUCCCCAGGGGUGAGGACCCCUGGAAUUUUAUAAGUCCUGAGUUACAGCUUCUAAGGCCAACCUAAGACUGAAGGGGCAGAAAGUUUCUUCAUUCAGGUGUCAGGCCAGAGUAGUGAGAAAUAUUUUCAGAGGAGGCCAGUCAGUGAAGCAAAUGGCUGUUUUUGAGAACCUGGUAGGUGAUAAGAGAUUGUACAGCUGUGCCCGAGCAGUAGGUGUCACUGUAGUCAGUGGCUUUUACUAAGAGCCUAAGGGGUUAAUUGGGUCUGGUUCAGAAGGGCAGGUAGAGGUCCAUCUUAGCCCUCCAGGGUCUGUGUCUUUGUCUCUAGGACACCAGUUGACUCGAAUGAAAUGCCCAAGUCAGUACCUAAAGACACUAUCUUUCUCUAAGAAGGGAAGGAAGAUACUUUGCCAUCUAUUGUAGAGUGUUAGGCUAUGCUGUGGGAGAGGGGUGGAUUGGGGUGGGUAAAUCGGUAAAAUAAUCCUUCUAAAGUUUGGUGGGGGACCUAGGACAGAGGGGAAGGAAAAAUUCUAUUAAGAGAAAUGAAAGAAUAUGGAAUAGCAGAAUACAUUUCCUUGUUGUAUUUUAGCCCUGAGCCCUGUUAUAUUCAGGCAGUGUGAGCUUUCAGAGCGUCUAUCAGCAUCCUUCUUAGAAUUUCCCUUUUUACAACAAAGGAAGCAAAGAAGAAAUCUUUCUAGCAGAGAUGUACUUCUCUUUUGCUGCUUACCAUUCCAGAAAGUUAAUUUUCAAACGUUAAAAUAGAAUUUGGGAUUUAGAAAUAGCUACUGUGUUGACUAAUUAAAAGAAAAAAAUCCUGUGAUUACGUAGCAAAUUGCUUUUUCAAGUACAUCCAAUUUUACUUUUUCUUUUCUAGCAACACCCUGGUGUGAAAACAAAAUAAAGCCUAGUAAACUCGCUGUAGAGUUUUAUAUUCAUCUUAUCUCUCUCUCUCUCUCUCUUUUUUUCUUUUGGCCAGGAUAACCAUCUCUCUCUCCACCCACCACCCAUGUAACACAGUAUGACUCGUCUUUAAAAAAAAAAAACAAAACAUGAAGACAGUAUAUACAUCUGACCUAUCCACAGAUACUCAUUAAAAAGAAGUCUCGUCCAGUCUUUGCGCUUACCCCCUCUACCCUGCCUGUUGGUUGCUGUUAACACCCUGAUUAAGCCUUGUUCUUAUUGGUACAAUAUGUUAAGCUCAGACUGCUCUUUCUCUCUCUCUCUCUCGCCUUCUGUCUCCGAGUGGCUGGGCUGAAACCAUCCGCACGCUCGCUGAGCCAGGUGGCGUUGCUUCCUGCCUCUCCUGCUCGCUGUUGCUAAGUGAGAGGCGCCGUAUCGCACAGAAGGCUGAACCAAUAGCAUCCUGACUCCCAUAGGCUGGUAAAAGCUGAAGAAAGAGAAUCUCAGUGUUGUCUGCGGCCGGCCGGUGGGUCCUCCUCCCUCUCCCUCCCCCCUCCCACCUUUUCUUUUCCAACAGGAAGGGGAGGAGGUGAGGGAGACGGUAGGAGGAAGAGGGAAGAAAGAGAAUGGGGGAGGUGAAUCCUAAUAUGCCUUGCUGUUCUUGAGAUAAAUGCCAUUUUUUUCUUUGUGAUGAAAAGAAAUGGUCGCCUCUCUUGUGCAAUCACAGACCAGCAGAUGCGCUUCUUUCUGCCCCCAAUCCGCCUGUGUUGUCAAAGCUCAGACUGAAUAAAUACGACGUCUGUUGGCCCGCGUAUCUGCUCUGCGUUUCUCUGUCUUGAUGUGGCUAUGAAUCUUUUAAUCCCCACAGUUCUGCAGAUUUUGGCACUCCUGUACCCCUGUUCAUUCUUCCUCUUCACCUCCCCUGUUUUGUUUGUUUGUUUGUUUGUUUUUACUGCCUCACAGUAUUCUCUUCCUAUUCCAGAUUGGAUUUCCUUUGAAUGCAAAAAUUAGCAAACUGUAUUUUAUAUAUCAUCCUGUGAGGGAGUCAUAAGGGUAUCCUAGUGAAGGGGGCAAGAGAGGAAGAAUACUUAUAAAGAAUUAAAAGGUUUUCAUAAAGGGAAGUAUGUGGAAUCACAUUAACCAAAAGGAGAUUACCAGUGAAAACCCUUACCAAAUUCUGGGUAACUAGAAUGUUUUUCUUUUGUUUUAUGAGCUGUCUUUUUCUUAUCACCAUAAAGAAAAAGACAGUCAAUGCUGCCAGCUCUAACUUAAUAACAUUUAAAACUAAAAUUCAUAGAUAAUCUCCAAACUUCAUUGUACUUACUUUCAGUCUCUUCCAGAUUGAACUAGAACUAGUUAUAGGUGGCUGAAUACUCAGAUCUGAGCAAUACUUUCAUCCUCUCUGUGCCCGUUUUCUAGGGGAGGUGUUAAUGACGAAGUAAAGCUCCAAAAAUGGACAAAGAAAUUAAAAAAAAAA